rnacentral:rRNA from 1 species
AAUGAACGCUGGCGGCGUGCCUAAUACAUGCAAGUCGAGCGAACAGACGAGGAGCUUGCUCCUCUGACGUUAGCGGCGGACGGGUGAGUAACACGUGGAUAACCUACCUAUAAGACUGGGAUAACUUCGGGAAACCGGAGCUAAUACCGGAUAAUAUAUUGAACCGCAUGGUUCAAUAGUGAAAGACGGUUUUGCUGUCACUUAUAGAUGGAUCCGCGCCGCAUUAGCUAGUUGGUAAGGUAACGGCUUACCAAGGCAACGAUGCGUAGCCGACCUGAGAGGGUGAUCGGCCACACUGGAACUGAGACACGGUCCAGACUCCUACGGGAGGCAGCAGUUGGGAAUCUUCCGCAAUGGGCGAAAGCCUGACGGAGCAACGCCGCGUGAGUGAUGAAGGUCUUCGGAUCGUAAAACUCUGUUAUUAGGGAAGAACAAAUGUGUAAGUAACUAUGCACGUCUUGACGGUACCUAAUCAGAAAGCCACGGCUAACUACGUG